UACGUAGGGGGCGAGCGUUGUCCGGAUUUAUUGGGCGUAAAGAGCGUGUAGGCGGCCAGGUAGGUCCGUUGUGAAAACUCGAGGCUCAACCUCGAGACGUCGAUGGAAACCAUCUGGCUAGAGUCCGGAAGAGGAGAGUGGAAUUCCUGGUGUAGCGGUGAAAUGCGCGGAUAUCAGGGAAGAACACCUAUGGCGAAGGCAGCUCUCUGGGACGGUACUGACGCUGAGACGCGAAAGCGUGGGGAGCGAACAGG
rnacentral:rRNA from 1 species